rnacentral:rRNA from 1 species
GAUGAACGCUGGCGGCGUGCCUAAUACAUGCAAGUCGAGCGAACGGAUGAGAAGCUUGCUUCUCUGAUGUUAGCGGCGGACGGGUGAGUAACACGUGGAUAACCUACCUAUAAGACUGGGAUAACUUCGGGAAACCGGAGCUAAUACCGGAUAAUAUUUUGAACCGCAUGGUUCAAAAGUGAAAGACGGUCUUGCUGUCACUUAUAGAUGGAUCCGCGCUGCAUUAGCUAGUUGGUAAGGUAACGGCUUACCAAGGCAACGAUGCAUAGCCGACCUGAGAGGGUGAUCGGCCACACUGGAACUGAGACACGGUCCAGACUCCUACGGGAGGCAGCAGUAGGGAAUCUUCCGCAAUGGGCGAAAGCCUGACGGAGCAACGCCGCGUGAGUGAUGAAGGUCUUCGGAUCGUAAAACUCUGUUAUUAGGGAAGAACAUAUGUGUAAGUAACUGUGCACAUCUUGACGGUACCUAAUCAGAAGGCCACGGCUAACUACGUG